rnacentral:rRNA from 1 species
UACGAGGGGGGCGAGCGUUGUUCGGAAUUAUUGGGCGUAAAGGGUGCGUAGGCGGUUUGGUAAGUCUGAUGUGAAAUCUAUGGGCUCAACUCAUAGUCUGCAUCGGAAACUGCCGGGCUUGAGUAUGGAGAGGUGAGUGGAAUUCCUGGUGUAGCGGUGAAAUGCGUAGAUAUCAGGAGGAACACCUGUGGCGAAAGCGGCUCACUGGACCAUAACUGACGCUGAUGCACGAAAGCUAGGGGAGCAAACAGG